rnacentral:rRNA from 1 species
UGUGGACGUUACCAAACUGUUGCCUCGGCGGGGUCACGCCCCGGGUGCGUCGCAGCCCCGGAACCAGGCGCCCGCCGGAGGAACCAACCAAACUCUUUCUGUAGUCCCCUCGCGGACGUAUUUCUUACAGCUCUGAGCAAAAAUUCAAAAUGAAUCAAAACUUUCAACAACGGAUCUCUUGGUUCUGGCAUCGAUGAAGAACGCAGCGAAAUGCGAUAAGUAAUGUGAAUUGCAGAAUUCAGUGAAUCAUCGAAUCUUUGAACGCACAUUGCGCCCGCCAGUAUUCUGGCGGGCAUGCCUGUCCGAGCGUCAUUUCAACCCUCGAACCCCUCCGGGGGAUCGGCGUUGGGGAUCGGGACCCCUCACACGGGUGCCGGCCCCGAAAUACAGUGGCGGUCUCGCCGCAGCCUCUCCUGCGCAGUAGUUUGCACAACUCGCACCGGGAGCGCGGCGCGUCCACGUCCGUAAAACACCCAACUUUCUGAAAUGUUGACCUCGGAUCAGGUAGGAAUACCCGCUGAACUUAAGCAUAUCAAA